UCUCCUCUGCUAGCUUGCAGCUUCACGGUGCAUUAGCUAGCUAGCUAAUGGUUGUUGGGUGUUUAUCUUAUUAGCUGUCGGCUUCAAACAUGCACUUUCCAAAGAUGGAUUUAUUCCACUGCAUCACGUCACCAAGCUUGCUAACAUCAGAAAGGUCCCCGGGUACAAUGCUUCAAGGCUAAAACGUCAAUUACUUGUGAUGAAAAGAAGGCAGGAGGGGGCGGGGAAUCCAAGACAAAAUGCGGAGCUAAGGUGAAACCCGGUCAGGUGGAAUGUGUCGUGGUGCUGCCCCGAGGUCUGGAUCUGUACAAGAUGUUUCUCCAAUAACUCUCCACAUCAGCACAACUAGUGGAAGAGUUUGGCCUGGAGUGCUGUCCCCUCCUUCAGUGGCAUGGGGGUACUUUGUACGCAUGAGUGUGUGUGUGUGUGUGUGUCUUUGUAAUUGUGCAGUCACACAGAAGUCACACACUCUGUAUGAGUGCUUGUUUGGACUUUGGGAGACACACAGGGUUACUGUGUUAAUGUGGGUGCAUAUGUCUAUGGGCGUCUGUAGUGUGUGUGUGUGUUUGUGGAGUUAUACAGGGACACUGUGCAUAAUUUUAUGUGUCAAUAUGUUUUUCUUGUUUUAAUUAAUUAAUUAUUUGUCAAAAAACCCACUGCAUUUAGAUAAAUAACCUUGUUAGUUUUAGUUCUUUGUUUAUCUUUGAGUUUUACUUCUUAAAUAGUAACUUAAGAGAGUCAAGAGUUUUGAACAGUUUAAUCUAAGAGUAUUAACUAAUACUAAAAAUUAUUUAUUUAAUUGUUAUUAUUAUAACAAAACUUUCUGACAUUAGGGACCAAAAAUUAUCUGCGACAUGUUGUUUCCUUCUUUCUCAUCCUGUUAAUUAUCUCUUGACCCCUGAGAUUUCUUUUACGACUCUAGUUUCCCACCCUUGGAUUAGGAUCCUCUGCAAAAUCAGAAUAUUCAAACUUAAUAAACAGAUUCAAUCUUGUCGAUCCUG